AGAGUUUGAUCCUGGCUCAGGAUGAACGCUGGCGGCGUGCCUAAUACAUGCAAGUCGAGCGAACGGACGAGAAGCUUGCUUCUCUGAUGUUAGCGGCGGACGGGUGAGUAACACGUGGAUAACCUACCUAUAAGACUGGGAUAACUUCGGGAAACCGGAGCUAAUACCGGAUAAUAUUUUGAACCGCAUGGUUCAAAAGUGAAAGACGGUCUUGCUGUCACUUAUAGAUGGAUCCGCGCUGCAUUAGCUAGUUGGUAAGGUAACGGCUUACCAAGGCAACGAUGCAUAGCCGACCUGAGAGGGUGAUCGGCCACACUGGAACUGAGACACGGUCCAGACUCCUACGGGAGGCAGCAGUAGGGAAUCUUCCGCAAUGGGCGAAAGCCUGACGGAGCAACGCCGCGUGAGUGAUGAAGGUCUUCGGAUCGUAAAACUCUGUUAUUAGGGAAGAACAUAUGUGUAAGUAACUGUGCACAUCUUGACGGUACCUAAUCAGAAAGCCACGGCUAACUACGUGCCAGCAGCCGCGGUAAUACGUAGGUGGCAAGCGUUAUCCGGAAUUAUUGGGCGUAAAGCGCGCGUAGGCGGUUUUUUAAGUCUGAUGUGAAAGCCCACGGCUCAACCGUGGAGGGUCAUUGGAAACUGGAAAACUUGAGUGCAGAAGAGGAAAGUGGAAUUCCAUGUGUAGCGGUGAAAUGCGCAGAGAUAUGGAGGAACACCAGUGGCGAAGGCGACUUUCUGGUCUGUAACUGACGCUGAUGUGCGAAAGCGUGGGGAUCAAACAGGAUUAGAUACCCUGGUAGUCCACGCCGUAAACGAUGAGUGCUAAGUGUUAGGGGGUUUCCGCCCCUUAGUGCUGCAGCUAACGCAUUAAGCACUCCGCCUGGGGAGUACGACCGCAAGGUUGAAACUCAAAGGAAUUGACGGGGACCCGCACAAGCGGUGGAGCAUGUGGUUUAAUUCGAAGCAACGCGAAGAACCUUACCAAAUCUUGACAUCCUUUGACAACUCUAGAGAUAGAGCCUUCCCCUUCGGGGGACAAAGUGACAGGUGGUGCAUGGUUGUCGUCAGCUCGUGUCGGAGAUGUUGGGUUAAGUCCCGCAACGAGCGCAACCCUUAAGCUUAGUUGCCAUCAUUAAGUUGGGCACUCUAAGUUGACUGCCGGUGACAAACCGGAGGAAGGUGGGGAUGACGUCAAAUCAUCAUGCCCCUUAUGAUUUGGGCUACACACGUGCUACAAUGGACAAUACAAAGGGCAGCGAAACCGCGAGGUCAAGCAAAUCCCAUAAAGUUGUUCUCAGUUCGGAUUGUAGUCUGCAACUCGACUACAUGAAGCUGGAAUCGCUAGUAAUCGUAGAUCAGCAUGCUACGGUGAAUACGUUCCCGGGUCUUGUACACACCGCCCGUCACACCACGAGAGUUUGUAACACCCGAAGCCGGUGGAGUAACCUUUUAGGAGCUAGCCGUCGAAGGUGGGACAAAUGAUUGGGGUGAAGUCGUAACAAGGUAGCCGUAUCGGAAGGUGCGGCUGGAUCACCU
rnacentral:rRNA from 1 species